rnacentral:ncRNA from 2 species
GCGGAUAUGGUCGAAUGGUAAAAUUUCUCU